rnacentral:lncRNA from 1 species
CAAAACCCUGAGGACUGCUCGCUUUAGCCUGGAGAAAAUAAUUGAAAAGAGGUUUUCCGUGAGUCCUUCCUGAAGUGGUCCAUGCAUAUUCAGCUAUGUCCGUCGGUCUGCCUGUCUAGUUACCUACCUCUCUGUUUAUCUUGAUCCAACUUGUCUUUUCUUCCUCACCAAAUGGGUUUGUACAAUGUAUUCUGUUCCAUGCCUUGCAUAUUUCUUGUCUUUCCUUUUUUUUUCUGAGAUUAUUACAACAUGUUUCUUUUUUUAUUUGUACAAACUUAUGUGGUACAUAAGACAUUUUGUUACAUGCAUAUAAUGAGUAGUGAUCAAGUCAGGGUAUUGAGAGUGUUUGCCUGAGUACAAUAGAUUUCUGUUGAGUACAGCCACCGUACUCUACUAUCCAACACUGAAUUUAUUCCUUCCAUCUUAGUGUGUGUUUGUACCCUUUAACCCACUUCUCCUCUUCCCCCGCAACUCACCCUUUCCAGUCUCUUUUCUCCAUCUAUCCACUCUCUACCUUCAUGUGAUCAAUUUUUUAGCUCCCACAUUUAAGGGAGAACAUGUGAUAUUUGUUAUAAGGGAGAACAUGUGAUAUUUGUCUUUUUGUGCCUUGCUUAUUUCACUUAAUAUAGUGUAUAUUUCAUAUACUAAAGAGAUAUUUGACACUGGCACAUUUCUUUUUCAGUGGCCAUGUAGUCAACUGUUAUGGAUAUGAACCAAACCUUAUUUCAUCAGUCUACCGUUGAAGGUCAUUUAGAUUGUUUUUGAUCUUUUGCAUGAAUAUCUCAUACACAUCUUUGUUGUGCUUUCUUAUCUGUAGAAUAAAAUCUUAGAAUAGAGUUGCUGGCUAAAGACUAUGUGCACUGAAAAUUCUGAUAGCUGUUGCCAAGUUGUCCUCCACACUGACAUAAAAUGCUGGACCACUCUUAAAGACCAGCUGAUCCAUGAGGCUUACUUUAAAAAAAUGAAAAUUUCACUCCCACUAUAUGAAUAUACCAGUGUGAUUUUCCCUACAUAUUGGCUAACACUAAAUAUUGUCAAACUUUGUCAUUUCUGCCAACUUCAAAGAUAAAAACAUGGUGUUUUAUUAAAUUUACAUUUCUUUCAUUUGAUAUCCUGG